rnacentral:tRNA from 2 species
GGGGCCGUAGCUCAAUUUGGUUAGAGCAUCGGACUGUCGAUCCGAAGGUUGAGGGUUCGAGCCCCUUCGGCCUCG